AUACGUAGGGGGCGAGCGUUGUCCGGAAUCAUUGGGCGUAAAGCGCGUGUAGGCGGUCCGGUAAGUCCGCUGUGAAAGUCGGGGGCUCAACCCUCGGAUGCCGGUGGAUACUGUCGGGCUUGAGUACGGAAGAGGCGAGUGGAAUUCCUGGUGUAGCGGUGAAAUGCGCAGAUAUCAGGAGGAACACCAAUUGCGAAGGCAGCUCGCUGGGACGUUACUGACGCUGAGACGCGAAAGCGUGGGGAGCAAACAGGAUUAGAUACCCUGGUAGUCCACGCUGUAAACGAUGGGCACUAGGUGUGGGGGGUGUCGACUCCCUCCGUGCCGAAGCUAACGCAUUAAGUGCCCCGCCUGGGGAGUACGGCCGCAAGGCUAAA
rnacentral:rRNA from 1 species